rnacentral:lncRNA from 1 species
GAAAUUGUGUUGACGCAGUCUCCAGGCACCCUGUCUUUGUCUCCAGGGGAAAGAGCCACCCUCUCCUGCAGGGCCAGUCAGAGUGUUAGCAGCAGCUACUUAGCCUGGUACCAGCAGAAACCUGGCCAGGCUCCCAGGCUCCUCAUCUAUGGUGCAUCCAGCAGGGCCACUGGCAUCCCAGACAGGUUCAGUGGCAGUGGGUCUGGGACAGACUUCACUCUCACCAUCAGCAGACUGGAGCCUGAAGAUUUUGCAGUGUAUUACUGUCAGCAGUAUGGUAGCUCACCUC